GGUUUCAGGUUACAGAGCUCGGAAAAUAAAAAACACACAGCAUAAAAUAGGAAGAGAACAAAGCAGAGACUUAACUCGUCUCGCAUAUAUUCUGUACAACAUUAGAUCAUUCAAGAACAUAUCCUACCUUUGCAUGAUCUAACCACGCUCAACUCAGACAACUGAGAGAGAACACAGGAGAGACUUAACUCGACUCACAUGAGCUCUGUACAGGUUCAGAUCACUCAAAGUAGCUCUCAUUCUAGAACAUGUAAUAACUGUGCGUGAUCUAACCAUGCUUAAAGUGCUCCUAACACAAAAAUGGAUUUUAGACAUUUAGAUUCUCAUUGGCAGUAUAUAUGAUAUUCGAAAACCGAAUCGCAAUAGCGAUUUUAGUUUAGAAGUUAUUCCCGUUUAAACAUGGUAUUUGCGAUGUAAUAAAAUAAAAACCGCGCAAAAGGGAUUGGUGCGAAAUCGAUGUUGUGAUGUCACAAUAGGAACCGGUCUAGGUCAUUCAUGCGAAAAACAUUAUAACGUGUAUUAUUCACUGAAGGCGACAGCGCAAAAAAUGCACGCAAAUUGAAAAUAUGCCGAGUAUAUGUAUUGUAGGUGGUUGCUCUAAUGUAUCCAAUGCGGGAAAAGGAAUCUCGCUGCAUUUUAUACCGUUUUCUGGCGACGAAAGGCCAGAAACUAAAAAGAGACGCAAGCAAAAGAUAGACCUCGUGCGCUUGAAACGAGCCAAAUGGGAUCCAACUCCCAGUUUAAGUAUUUGUUCGGUUCACUUUGCCAAGGAAGAUUUUACGGAAAUUUUUUCUAGUAUCUUCGGCAAAGUACCAAGGUUAGCCACCGUUGAAAUUGGGAUAGUUGCAAUUCCAAAGUUGCGUCGCCGGAAUGCAAACCUACUUCUGCGAGGGACAAAAGAAUGGUAAAUACUCUUUCGUUGCAUUUAUAUUAUAUGAUUUGUGAUUAUAUUGCUGUGGGAUUUUUAUUUCUUGAUGGUUUCAAUAUAGGCUAUGCUUAUGGAGGCUGGCUUUUAGAUCGAAUAUUUCUAUUUUCAAUAACGUGAAUGUUUUGGUCGAAAACCUGAUUGAUACCCAGACAAAAGAUUGUUAUCAAUUAAAUAAUAAUAUAGUUGUUCAAAUACUGUUUUCUCAAAGAUCUUACUACAGAUAAAAUAGAAGUUGCUCGAUAAUUCUAACAUUUACGUCUAUCGUCUGAUUUGUGAAUAGGUGUUACUCGUGCAAUCUUCCAGUCAUCUACAAAGAUUCCUGUUUUGAUUAAAAGAUUGAAAAUAUAGGUCAAAGAUGGAGCUAUGAUUGUCGAGGCAAUCUUUAGUGAUGCUUCGAGGCAAUAAAAACAGUGUUUCGACAGAGACAGGUGGUUGCGUUGGACGUGCUUACUUGCUAAAGGAAAAGAGGAAAACGUGGAACAAAUAUGUCACGCUUAAAGCCAGAAAUAUGAUGAAAUGGCUAAAGCGAAACGUUCCAAAGGUGUGCAGUGUAAGAUUAUAAGCGAAGCAGAGUGUGGUCGUAAGGAUGCUGAAAUGCUACCAUGUGGCAUUCCAACCGGUACUGACACGAAAUCCACUGCUGAAUGCACAGAUGAUGAAAUGGAUAGCAUUUCGAGUACAGGAGAAUUCCAUUCGGAAGAAGGACUUUCACUAGUCCUGGAAGAAGAUAUUUUAGUGUCCGGAGGAUCUCCCACCAAGGUCAUCAAUAUGUUUAUGGAAUCUUCUUUGGUUAUUUCUGGUGAUGAAAGACAUGACAGCAUAGGCCAUUGUGCAAAAUAUUGUAGUUACACAAUUUUUUCAUGGCACCUCAAAUGAAAUAAUUGAUUUUAGUUUGAUACAGCGAAAUGAAGUAGGAAGCAGCUGCCAUGGAAUUUGAAGGAUUCCAGAGUUGUAUGAAUUUUCUCCUGGGCGAAGAGUUGCACGAGGUUUUUACUAAGUUGGCAAAGGAAACAGAUGGAGAGGAAUUAAUCAUCUCUAUUGGUGUGCCACCUCCACACAUUCUGGAAAUGGUAGAAUCAUGUUUGCAAAAUUCAAAUCAUUCCUGAGUUAUAUAGUUGACAAGCAUGAUGGAUUGGAUGAUCCACUAUAUAACAGUGUGCUCAUGGUGAACUGACACCAAGAAAGUGGAUGCUACCUGACUCUCCAGCAUACAACAAGCUAAGUGGUGCAGUGCUGAAAACUUCAUUUGUGAACGGAAUUAAACAAGCCUCACCAUUGAACCAAACAAGUUGUUUAGAGGGUUUGCAGGUAUGUUUCACUAAAUGGUCUAUAAUCAGUAAUAGUGAGUGUUG